UGCUUUUUUGACAGAUUUUUUUUAGAUCCAGUAUUCUGUAUGGGAGAUAGGAUUUAUGCAGGUAAAAUCUGUUAUAAAGCAACAACUGCAAUGACCAAUAUGACAACAUUCGAACAUGGGUUUCCUACAAAGCCUACCAGUGCCUACCUUUUUUCUACAGAUUACAGGUUAACCCUGGAAGGUUCUGGGAGUUUGAGUCCAAAAAAGGGCCUUUUCCAUCUCAGCGGUACCACUAGCAAAGGAAGAUCAGGCAGAUCCUACUGCUCCACAGCUCAUUAUUUUGUUCCAGGACUGGCACAAUGUUUUCUAUCUUGGAUUUCAUGAAGUCUCUUUUCUUUGUGUAUUUGUGUGUAUAUUUAUAUGCCUGGGGGGGAUGGAUGGUCUCUUAUUUUCAUUUAUGUACAAUGCCCACCGCACUUGAAUUUUAAUUGAUGUGAGUUGCUAAGCAGGGUAAUUGUGCCUGGAAAAUUGAAUAAAAUCUAGCAGAUAGAAAAUAAAUAUAGUAAAUAAAAAAUAAAAAU
rnacentral:lncRNA from 11 species